AUACGGAAAACAAAAUACAUACAAAUUCUCUGUCUGACAGAUGAACUCAGAGACCUAGGCAUAUACAACAGAGGAUAGUAAAACUGACCUUAGAGGGACGAAAUAUAGGAAUAGUUGGCAUCCCUGCUAUAGAUAUAAAACCUUUUCUGAGCUGGAAGAAAUAAUGAUUCACCAGCCGGUUUAUGGUGGUGUUUCAUACCUUCUGGGAAGAAUAUAAAUUAAAAGUAUUUGAAAAUAAAGUGCUAACCACCUACGAGUGAUCAAUUUCCACCAGAGAUGGAUUUAAUGGUAUUUUGAUUCAAUGCUGAUUGCACUAAAGUGUAAUAUGACAGUCAACCUAAAUUUCUGCCUAGUUCUGACGUUACUAAAUGAUACUGAAUCAGACAUUGCAGCGUCUCCCGGCACCAAAAAAAGAGGUGGUCCGUUUAUUAUGUGGGACAUGACCGUUCACUCCGUUGUCGUCCUUUGCCUCAUACCUCAGAGUAAUUGCAGAGCCUGAAGAAGAAUCCAAAAUGCAUUAUACAUUACAUUGUAUUAAACUUAGAAUUGCACACGUAUUAUGUAGGAAACAUAAUUAAAAUGAGUAACACAGGCUUUAUAUGGAAGCUGAAAAUUAUAUCUUUGAGAGGGGAACAAUGACUGAAUGUAUCUAAACCUAUGAGGCAUCAAGCAAGCAACUUAGGUCAUUAUACGAGGUACGAUCGGAAAGUUUCAAGACUGUGUCAAUAGAGGGCGAAC